UACGUAGGGUGCAAGCGUUGUCCGGAAUUAUUGGGCGUAAAGGGCUCGUAGGCGGUCUGUCACGUCGGGAGUGAAAACUCAGGGCUUAACCCUGAGCCUGCUUCCGAUACGGGCUGACUAGAGGUAUGCAGGGGAGAACGGAAUUCCUGGUGUAGCGGUGAAAUGCGCAGAUAUCAGGAAGAACACCUAUGGCGAAGGCAGCACUCUGGGACGGUACUGACGCUGAGACGCGAAAGCGUGGGGAGCGAACAGG
rnacentral:rRNA from 1 species